CAACCCCAAGAGGCAAGCCUCUUGGGGUUGUAGGACACUCAAUACGGAGUGAUCAAGAAACGGAGUAGGUGAACUGUCUGGAAAGGCAGGCCGAAGAAGGUAACAGCCCUGUAGCUGAAACUUCGUUUCCUCCAGAGUGGAUCCUGAGUACGGCGGGACACGUGAAACCCCGUCGGAAUCCGGGAGGACCAUCUCCCAAGGCUAAAUACUCCCUAGUGACCGAUAGUGAACCAGUACCGUGAGGGAAAGGUGAAAAGCACCCCGGAAGGGGAGUGAAAGAGAUCCUGAAACCGUGUGCCUACAACUAGUCAGAGCCCGUUAACGGGUGAUGGCGUGACUUUUGUAGAAUGAACCGGCGAGUUACGGUAUCGUGCAAGGUUAAGCUGAUGAAGCGGAGCCGCAGCGAAAGCGAGUCUGAAUAGGGCGCAUAAGUACGAUGCCGUA
rnacentral:rRNA from 2 species